AUGGCCUCGAGCUCCCUCCCGCUCCUCGCCCUCCUGGCCCUGCUGGCCCUGCCAGGGCUCCGGGCGGCCGUGACCCUGCUGGAGUCCGGGGGGGACCUCCAGCCCCCCGGGGGGUCCCUGACUCUGCUCUGCCACGCCUCUGGGUUCAAUUUUGGGAGUUUUGGAAUGUACUGGAUCCGCCAGAGCCCCGGGAAGGCGCUGGAAUUUGUUGCGAGUAUCAGGAACGAUGGUGGCUACACCUACUACGCGCCGUCAGUCAAUGGCCGGUUCAGGAUCUCCAGGGACAACGGGCAGAGCUCGGUGACGCUGACCAUGAACAACCUCAAGGACGAGGAUUCCGGCGCCUAUUUCUGUGCCAAAUCUCCUGGUGGUUGGGCUGAUGCUGGUAAUGGUGUUUGUGUUGCUAUUUCAUGUUUUACCCCGUCCCCAUCACUGUCCCCAGCUGUCCCCAGCUGUCCCCAGACCCGUCCCCCAACCCUCAGCCUCUGA